AAACAAAAACAUUGUCCAAUAUAGGCCCAAAAUUCAAAGAGAAGUGAUAUUUCAUUAGAUUAUAAUUAAUUAGGAAAUUAGGAAACUUAAUGGAAAACUCUUCAGCUCCCAUCUUCUCUACCCAGCCACUUCAUCUCCUUUCUUCUCCCCUAAUUGUUUUCUUCCCAACCUCUUCUUCUCAAUUCUUCUCCCCUAAUUUUACUAUCUCAACUAUUCUUUAUUUUCGAAGUACACAAGUUGAUCCAUUCGAAGAGUUCGUUAUCUCUGAUGUAGAGCUACUACAGAUUCGAUUUCAAAGGUUUGGAGCUUUGCAUGUUAGCUCAAAAUCAUCAUCGAUGUCUUUACUAUCUCUCUUGCUAUGGUUUGUUUGUUUAGCAACAGAAUCGCAGCUGACUGAAGACAAAAAAAUGCUCGAGUGUGUUGCUCUUAGUCAGAUCCCUGAUUUUCAAAGUGGGUUCUCUAGCGAUUCAAGUUUUUUAGGAUUAUCAACCAGAAGUACAAGGCCUAGGGUUUUGGGUUUCAGCUAAAAGAGAAUUUCAGGAUAACCACCAUAUAUAUGAGAAAACAGACAGAAAAGAUUCAAUUACAAUGUGAAGCAAAGUUUCUGAACCUGAACAAGACCAGAAUUCUGCAAAUUGAUGGCACCGGGUGGACGUGUUUUUAAGCAAACUACACUUCAGGGGAAACAAUUCUAGAUACUCAAUCACUAGAUGAAUCAAAUAACCAUACUCCUGCUGUGAAUACAAAUGAUUCCACUAGAAUCAGGAAUGGUCGCGGCAAGACUAGAGGGAAAGGUCUUGAAAAAAUGAAGAAGGCUCAAGGAAGAAAGAUGAAAAUAGAGAUCCCAGUUGGUAAAGGAAGGCCAACUAAACCAGAUCAAUC